CGCGUAGGCGGGUUUUCAAGUCUGUGGUGAAAUCCUCCAGCUUAACUGGAGAAGUGCCGUGGAUACUGGGGACCUCGAGGUGGGUAGGGGCAUCUGGAACAGCCGGUGGAGCGGUGAAAUGCGUUGAUAUCGGCUGGAACUCCGAUGGCGAAGGCAAGGUGCUGGACCCUCUCUGACGCUGAGGCGCGAAAGCCAGGGAGCGAACG
rnacentral:rRNA from 1 species